CAGUGGAAUAUUGAUUUGAAUCCGGAAAAAUCUGAUUUUUCCAUGAUGAUUGCGAGAUUAAUUAAAGCAAUAUUUCUAUUAUUUUGUUUGCUAUCUACCAUCGUGUUAAUCUCAGCCCAAACACCAUACGAUUCAAGAGUGGACUCAACGUCUCCACCGAACUCAUCGUGGGGACGAAGAAAAAGAUCAAUUAUAUUAGAUGAAGAUCCGUUCUUUGAUUUUGAAUAGUGACUGAAAUCGCUGUUCACUCCCGGAAAAUAUACAACGUUCUUGCUACAUGAAAAAUACGACGAUACGUUAUUUAAUUUUAUGACAACGAUUAUUUUAUCUGAUAUAAACAAAUUUGUAUCCUACACUAUUUAUAACAUCCAGAAACCCCACAAGAACUUUCUGACAGUUGUGAUAACUUUUCGACAAACUGAAAAUGAUAGCUUAUAAUGCGUAUAUAGUGUAUUUAAGAUCUACAAAUAUUUGCCGUUUCGUUUUUUUAUAUUAUUUCUAUAUUUGUGCGAAAUAAUUUUGCAUUGCACCAUGUUUAUAAAUUAAACCUAUAUCUCGACGCACAAUUUGCUUUCUUUGUGGGUAUGAUAUUUGUGCUCAUGAGAGUGCUGUUCUCGCAUGAUGCGUAGAUCAGUGUCGGUAAUGUGUAUUGAUGCUUUGCAAUCCAUGUUAAAUUUUGACUGAUUUUGUUAUCGUUUGUCCGUUGCGAGUCUUUAUAUAAUAAAUACACUCUGACAACAAUGAAUUAAUUUGUCACAUACAGCGCCACCAUCCUAGAGUGGGCAAAAUAUUAUUCAUUUUCCUUGUACUAAUGUAAAUUUUCUGAGUCUGUGUUUAUCCUGGACAUUUGAACAUCAAUUUAGUUUUACAUAGAUUUAGUUCAAGUAAAUUAUGUUUAGAUUGUUUUAUG